ensembl:lncRNA novel transcript
AAGCUUUCAGGCCCUGGAGAGAAUCUUACAAUAUCAGAAGUGGGAUUCACAUAGCGCUUCCCGUGACCCUCCAGGAAUAUCAAGUGACCCAGCAAGACCUGACACCUAAUGAAUGUGUGAAUAGAAAACACCUAGAUGCUCAGAAGAAUGGGUAGUGAAAUAUUCGUAUUCAUAUACCAAUCAGAGAGUUUUGGCUGAUCACAGGCUGCCAACUGUUCAAACCACAUUCAAAUAAGGGCUGUGACCGUCUACGACAAGCUGGCAUCUUUCUUUAAAGAGGCACCUCUGGACCUGCAGCACCGGCUCCUCAUGAAGCUCAGAACCUGAGGACCCAGCCAUGGAGCGGUCAGCCUUCAUGGAGCAGGAUGCUGGGAGCGGGCUGGUGAUGCGUCUCCAUGAGCGGCCAGCCCUGCUGGUCAGCAGCACACCUGGACAGAGUUUGAACAACUGACUCUUCACGGACGCAACCUUCCUUCUCUUGUCUGUGUGAUAACAGGCAAAGGGCCUCUGAGGGAGUAUUACAGCCGCCUCAUCCACCAGAAGCAUUUCCAGCACAUCCAGGUCUGCACCCACUGGCUGGAGGGCCGAGGACUACCCCCGCUUCUAGGUGUCUGCUGAUUGGUCUGCUGGCUUGCAGGGGUGGGCCUUUGUCCCUGGCCAGCGCUGGACCUGUGGAUUUCAGGACUGUGACCCAGGACCACAGGCAGAGCUCUGUUCGACCAGAGAGGGGACUGAGUGUGCUGGCAGGGCUGAGGGGUUUUUGGUGGCCCAGCCAAACACCACCUUCUCUCAAGGGCCCUGUCCUCGUCCCAGAACUGGUUGUUUUCCUCCUGUGGUCUCUGAAGGACACAGGGCAUGGCUCUGGGACAGAGCCAUGUGGUGAUGACUGUAAUGGGAGUAUGCCUGACUCCAACAAGAGGGCUGUGGCUUGAAGGUCACCUUAAGAGGCACCCCGUCCUUUGAUUUCACCCUGGAGGCCCAGAGUAACUCUUCUGGAAGCCCCAUCAUGUCCAUGCCUGACAGCGCCCAUUGUUCCCUUUUCCCAGAGCCAAGAGCUGGGUAGAGCUGCAAGGACAGUGCCUGCACAGGGUGCUCAGGGCUGGGCAUUACCUGCUGCAAUGACAACAUCUAGCUGGAAGGCAGAGCGCUGAUGGACCGUCACUACGUCCCAGUCCAGCGCUGGGCCAUUGUCACCCUAGGGCUGUCUAAGUUGGCAGUGAUGUCUGCCUCUAAUGAGAGGCCAUUGAGAAGGACAUUUCCUUGGAGCUGCUCGAGGACUCGGCUGUGACAGUCGCUGAAGAUGUAUGCCCGGGGGCGGCAUAUCUUGCAGAUGGCCAGGCCUGUGAGGCUGGCACCACUGCCAAGCUCUAAGACAGACCUGGCGAGAGGAAAGGGGACCGUGUCUGCGACUGCACCAGGGUAAGCCCGCCUCGGUGCCCUGCCCUGCGCCCCAAGGUCACCUGUGAGUGAAGGCUGCCGGGUUCUCGAUGGCCCAUUCUGCAAUGUAGAGGGCGGCAUCCCAUGUGACCAGACCCGUGGUGCUGUGGGAGAUGAUGGCCAUGCUUUCGGAGAGUGUGACCGAGCCUCCCGAGGGCUGCACCAAGAGAGGGCGAGAGAGUCAGUCCAGCAAUCAGAAGGCAAGUGGCUUAGAAGACAAAUAGCCAUCCACCACAUGGCCAAAUAAACCAUGACAGGACCAAUUGCCAGUCAGCAAUGAGAAGCAGCUAACUGUUGACAUGCCAAAAGCUUGCACGGGCCUCAAGGUUGUCAUGCGGCAUGAAAGACACUCAUCUCAGGCCACACAGGAUUCCAUUUAUCCAACAUUCCUGAGACAACAGAAUUCUGGUGAUGGAGCAAAGGUCAGCGGUGGCCAGGGGCUGGGUGUGGCUAUGAAGGGGUGGCUGCCUUGUGAUGAUUCAAUAUGCUAUGUUUUUCCUUUGUGGUUUUCUGUAUCUAUGUUUUAUCUUAUUUUUUUUGAGCUCUGUCACCCAGGCUGGAAUCAGUGGCACGAUCUUGGCUCACUGCAACCUCCACCUCCUGGGUUCAAGCAAUUCUCCUGCCUCAGCUGCCCAAGUAGCUGCGACUACAGGCAUGCGCCACCAUGUCCGGCUAAUUUUUGUACUUUUUUUUGAGACAGAGUUUCGUUCUUGUUGCCCAGGCUGGAGUGCAAUGCCGCAAUCUCGGCUCACUACAACCCCCACCUCCUGGGUUCAAGAGAUUCUCCUGCCUCAGCCUCCCGAGUAGCUGGGAUUACAGGCGCCCACUGCCACACCCCGCUAAUUUUUGUAUUUUUAGUAAAGAUGGAGUUGCACCAUGUUGGCCAGGCUGGUCUCAAACUCCUGACCUCAGGUGAUCCACCCGCCUCAGCCUCCCAUAGUGCUGGGAUUACAGGCAUGAGCCACCAUGCCCGGCCCAAUUUUUGUAUUUUUAGUAGAGACACGGUUUCACCAUAUUGGCCAGGCUGGUCUCGAACUUCUGACCUCGGAUCCACCCGCCUCAGCCUCCCAAAGUGCUGGGAUUACAGGUUUGAGCCACUGCGCCUGGCCCUGUCAAGUAUUCUUUGAGGACUGGGCACCAGGUCCUUGUGAAGCAGGUAGUGUGUGUUACCUAUUGGACAAAUGCCCAACAACCCCACAACACAUGUUAUUGUUGUUGAAGUGCUUGAUUUACAGACAGGGAAACCGAGGCUAAAGAAGGUUAACGGACCUCAUGUCUAAGACUGCAGAAUGGGUGAGUCAGGAUUUGAACCCACACCCAUGUUUUCACUUUGUCUGUGCAGGAAGGGUAUCUGGGCUGUGAGGGGGAGGAGGGUGCCCUUCUCAUACCAACAAAUAGCUCCGGUGGCCCUGGGGGGACUCCUUGGCCAUCAGGGUCUCCGCCAGCGCCUCGUACAGCUCAUCCAAAGGCUCCGUGUGGACAGCCUCGUGCUGGGGGCAGACAGAGUGAGAGCUUGUUUGCUUUUGUUCUAAUCUGUAAAAAUGGCCAGAUGAUUUUCACCAAGUUUGCAGGGGAGAUUUGGGAUGGAAUGGUGUGAUACCAGCCAGCUUGCAUAUAAAAUAUUCACUUUGU